GUAUGAUUGCCUAAAUAUGAUAGCAAAGGAUAUGAUUGAGAUAAUAAUUUGGGGGGUGAAGAGUUGUGAUUUCUAUCAAACCUUGCAACCUCACAGACCCAAAAUAAAUUGAGCAAAUCAGCAAUGGUGAUAAAAUAGAAGCUGAACCUGGUGGGAAAAAAAGAAAAGAAACACAUGAGUGUCGUCAAACAAGAAGAAAACCCAAUAAACAAGUGGCUAAGCAACAAGAAUCAAUCUUUCUCCAUAUCAUCCAAACAUGUAAGCUGUUAGAUAAGAAUUUACAAAGCACAGUAAUAAGACCAAAACAGUCCAACAGAAAUUCACGGUUGAUCCGUCCAAAUCCAGUGGACAUAGAAGGCAGGGAGAAACAAAGACAACGUAAGGAUCGAUCGAGACAGCGAUCGUCCAAAAGGUAAAAGGUCGCAACGAAGCAUUAGAUGGACAUGUAUGAGAGCCUCGCGCACAGGGAAGACUAAAAGAUGGAUCGUGACAAAUGGGUAUCGAUCUAACGCUUGUUCUUACCAACAAAACCCAACAUCAAACAAUAUCGAGACAAAACAAGACAAGACAAGCGGUAAUAACGAAUAUAUAUAGCAAAAGAAGAAAGAAAAAAAUAGGUACCAAAGACCAAAGUUGAUUAUGGAUGACUGCCUUCGUACCUCUCCCUCGAAAGUGAGCUUCGGUUGGUCUGGUCGGUUGUGCCAAGGUGGGGAAUUCGUGGCAGCGAGGCGCGGAGGAGAG
rnacentral:lncRNA from 1 species